GUAGGUGGCAAGCGUUGUCCGGAUUUAUUGGGUUUAAAGGGUGCGUAGGCGGUCUAUUAAGUCAGUGCUGAAAUACUCCAGCUUAACUGGAGGGGUGGCAUUGAUACUGAUGGACUUGAGUACAGAUGAGGUAGGCGGAAUUGACGGUGUAGCGGUGAAAUGCAUAGAUAUCGUCAAGAACACCGAUAGCGAAGGCAGCUUACUGGGCUGUAACUGACGCUGAUGCACGAAAGUGUGGGGAUCAAACAGGAUUAGAUACCCUGGUAGUCCACACUGUAAACGUUGAUUACUCGCUGUUUGCGAUACACAGCAAGCGGCUUAGCGAAAGCGAUAAGUAAUCCACCUGGGGAGUACGCCGGCAACGGUG
rnacentral:rRNA from 1 species